AUAUAUAUAUGUACAAUACUUACAUCGAUUAUUACGUAUAUAAUUCUAUUGCAAGUUAUUUGUUAUUAUUUUUACACUGCUUUUCUUGCGUAUUUAAGUUAAUGUGCAAGCACUAUAUAUGAAUUCAUUUUUUUUUUUUUUUUUUUUUUUUUUUUACCAUUUUUAACUUAUGCAUUUUUUUUUUUUUUUCUAUCGUAUGAUCACAGAACGUCGAUAUAGAGAUACUGAAAUUUUUGCAAUGUGCAUUUAAAGAAGGCGUAAAAGUAAAAAGUGCAGCCGAAGUUGGAAAAAAGGGCUGUGGAGUACUUUAGAGGUGAUGAUUUUGUUAAUUUUAUGAAUGACAAAAAGGAAAUGAUAAAAAAGAAAUUUCCAAAUUUAUUUAGUAAUAAGAAAUUGGCUGAUUUAAAAGAUAUAGAAGAUUUUGCUGACAUGUUAAUACAAAAAGGAUAUAUAUAUAAAGCUCAAUAUAAACCUAUUAAAGGAAUAAAUGAAAUGGAUGAGAAUGGAGUAUAUAAAAGACCUAAAUGGCCUAAAAGAUUAAUUAUGACAUCUAAACAAAAUUUUGAUAAAAAUGGUUUUUAUAUUUUAGUACAUGAAAGAAAUACUAGAUUACAAUAUGUUAUGUUAAUAACAUUAAUAACCAUUGUUUUAAUUUGUUGUAUGUUUCCAGUUUGGCCAUUAAAAUUAAAAUUAGCAUUAUGGCAUUUAUCAGUAGUAUUUAUAUGUUUAAUUUCUUUUAUAGUAAUAGGAAGGUUAAUAACAUUUUUAUUUUUUUGGUUUUUUGGAGUCGAUUAUUGGAUAUUUCCUAAUUUAUUUGAUGAAGAAUGUAAUGUGAUUGAAUCAUUUAUUCCUUUUCAUACGUGGCAUUAUCGAAACGAUACAUGGUUUCUUGUCAUUGCUCGAGCAUUUACUGCUGUUUUAUUGGCAAUAGGUAUACACCAAUUAGGAAAAACACAUUCUAUAUCAGAUAUUCAAAAUUUUGCAAAACAGUCAUUUAUUGACAUA
rnacentral:lncRNA from 1 species